GGCUAGUCAAUAAAAUCAUUUAACAGAAGUUGCCUGCAAGCUAAGUCGAACUGAACGUGAAGUUCUACUACAACGACUUUCGAACUAGUUUGUGUUAUACGCGUGUAUAGCGAAAACUUUACAGCCGUCCCGCAACCGAAUUUAUAUAGCUAAUUGCCCGGAGACUGUCAACGUGAUAGAUGAUUCGCCAGAGUGUAUUACAACUUGACGGCUAUACCAAACUAUAGCUCUUACGGACAAAAGAUCUUUCUUACAAAACAACUUGUUUAUAAUAUCCGAUUGGUACCGUAUAGUUGGUACGUAUAUUAUUGUGCGGUGUGUAUACGCAUAAGUGUUUUCGAUAAUAUUGUCGUGUCCGCAUCUGUGCUUUUCAGUACAGCGACAGGUUACUGUCCCAAUCUCAUCCCUGUCCCCUUCAAGUUACUAUUGUAAUUUAUAGAACCACAAUGUUAAUACUUUAUAAACUUAUACUAAUCUGCACGAUUUUAUGACUAUUUUUAUUAGGUAUAAUAUUUUUUUAACAUUCUAGUUUUUUCAAUAAAAAUUAUUGAGAAUUAUUUUUCAAAC